CCAAGCCCUUGUACCGGGGAUUACAAUGAUCAUUUGUGUGUACGAGGUGAUUGUUCCUGCCACAUCAGAGGCCUUGGGAGGAUGACCUAAGGCUGCUUUCUCCCAUCCUGACUUCCUCUACUCAGCACUGUAACUACACGUACAAUUUGCUGGUUCUUCUAAAGGAUGACUGACUGGUGCUGCGAUGUGGUCUUCAGGCAGCCAGGGGGGAUCUCCAUAUGAGUGUUUUUGGCAGAAUUGGUCUCCCAAACUGGAAGAGCUUCUCUGUAUUUAAUUUCCUCUCAGGAAGUUUACCUUCAGAAGUCCAAGUGUGAGGUCAAGCUUUGGGUUGCCGGAAAUGGUAAUGUCCUUUACUGUCUGAGCACCCAGACAACUCUUAAUGAAACAUCCUACUCUAUGGACAUUGCUGCUUCUGCUGCUGCUGAAUUAUGCAGCCUGCUCUUGUGCAUAUCUCUCCUGCAGUGGCUGGCCUUAUUUCUGCACAGUGCAUGGAUCAGAAUCUG
rnacentral:lncRNA from 1 species